rnacentral:rRNA from 1 species
CGCCUCUUGCAAUCCAUAAGAGGUCCAGCCUGCCCAGUGAUAAAAUUCAACGGCCGCGGUAUCCUAACCGUGCGAAGGUAGCGUAAUCACUUGUUCUUUAAAUGAGGACUAGUAUGAAUGGCACCACGAAGGUUAUACUGUCUCCUCUUUCUAAUCAAUGAAACUGAUCCCCCCGUGAAGAAGCGGGGAUAAAAUUAUAAGACGAGAAGACCCUAUGGAGCUUUAAACUAAUGCAACACUAGCAUUAAUACCACUAUAUUCCAGAAUUAUAAAAACCAUUUCAGCUAGCAUGAUUGCUAGUUUUAGGUUGGGGUGACCAUGGAGCAUAAAAUAACCUCCACGCAGAACGGGACCAUUCCUGAGCCAAAAGCUACGACUUUAAGCACUAAUAAAUUAACAUUAAUUGACCCAAUAUAUUGAUCAACGAACCAAGUUACCCUAGGGAUAACAGCGCA